GACCUGAUUCAGGAACGUGUAUGGAAAUCUGAUAAUCAAGGCAGAACACAAACAACCUUCCUUAGGCAAAUAUAGCCUUGGCAUAUGGCUCUACCUCCUAAUGACCUGAUGACUACCCGGAUCUCCAUGCGGUCCUUGCCCUCCUUGGCGUCCAUCAGUAGUGCUAGCGCUGACCCUCGCUUCCAUUUCAAAUGGAGGGCCAUCACAGUAGUAACUAUACUAGGCUUGGGCCUGUUGCUCUAUCUGCACCAAACAGCAGGGGGCUCUACAGACGAUACAAAACUCUUUCCAUCGAUGCGUCAUAGUAAUGGUGCACACCGCCUGAUUCGGGAUACGACUGCCAAUACGGAUGCCCGUUACAACCACACGUACCCUCUGAGCCCGCCGGAGCGCACAGCUAAUGGAGUCCGCUACCGCAUAGCUGUGAUCGCAGACUUGGACACAAACUCACGCAGCAUCAAGGACAAAACCUGGUUCAGCUACAUGCAGCGAGGCCACCUGCUAGUGACAGACAACGGGGAACAUGUGGAGGUAGAGUGGGACCCGGAGAAGGUGGUGCUGGAGAGCCAUUUAUCAGAAAAAGGGCGUGGGAUGGAGCUGUCCGACCUGGUGGUGUUUAACGGACAUCUGUACAGCGUAGACGAUCGAACAGGCGUGGUGUAUCGCAUUGAAGACAACCGGGCUGUACCAUGGGUCAUCCUGCCUGAUGGAGAUGGCAGCGUUUCCAAAGGUUUUAAGGCUGAGUGGCUGGCAGUGAAGGACGAGCACCUGUACGUGGGUGGGCUGGGGAAGGAGUGGACGACCACCACGGGCGAAUUCGUCAACAACGACCCCCAGUGGGUGAAAGUCAUCGGCUUCCAGGGCGACGUGCACCACGAGAACUGGGUGCCCCAUUACAUCGCAAUGAGGGGCGCAGCAGGCAUCAAACCACCUGGUUAUUUGAUACACGAGUCGGCGGUGUGGAGCGAGCGUCGACAGCGCUGGUUCUUCCUCCCACGCCGCGCCAGCUCUGAACGCUACGAGGAAACAGCUGACGAGCGCCGUGCCACCAACCUGCUCCUGACCUGCACGGCCGAUUUCAGCCACGUCUCAGUGACCCGGGUCGGGCGGCUGCUCCCCACACACGGCUUCUCAGCCUUCAGGUUCAUUCCCAACACCCAUGACCACGUGGUCCUCGCACUGAAGUCUGAGGAGGACGCAGGCAAAAUCGCCACCUACAUCACAGCCUUCACGCUGGACGGACGGGUCCUGCUGCCCGAGACAAAGAUCGGAGAUGUGAAAUACGAAGGGCUGGAGUUCAUCUAGUUUGGUAGAAGAGAGUGGAUUUCUCACAUGGGAGUCACUGGGUAUGUGACCAUGUGUGUAAUGUCAGUGCAAUGUCGUAGAUGUAAAAUGUCAUAAAAGGAUCAGUUUCUCUUUAUGAUAUUUCUGUAUGCAGUGGUGAUAAUGUACACUGCAUGUAUUCAUGUCCCCAUGGAGACCCACCAGUGGACACAGUGGAUAACUGUUCUCUCAUGACGAGGGAGAUCAAUGACGUCAAACAAAACACAAAGACACAGCUACAUGAAAAUUGUAGUAUUUCUGUUUAGAAAAAUAUGUAUAUUGCCAUAUGGGACCAUAAAGGACGAUAAAGGAUCCACAUUACCAAACGUGAACAUGGAAAUGUUCUAGGGCCAGGAUAAGAAGAGGAUUGCACUGGAUAUUCCUGUAGAAAACAGUGGGGAUAAGUUAGACCAUAAUGCAGGAAGGGAGGAUAAGUCAGAACAGGAGACAGGAGUAGGUGCUUGGCGAAAUGGUCAAAAAAGCUGUAAAUUCCUACCUCUAAUUAAAAUAUAACUUGUAUUUCAAUGAGAGGGUUGGAUUUAGUUUGAAAGAAUGUAAGCAUUCUUUCAAAAUAAUUCAAAAUCCCCUGCUUGCUCGGAGUAAUGUAAAACCAAUACCACUGUUUCAACAGUGACAAAUAAUCAAAUGUUCAAUAGACAUAUUUUCAUUGUUGUGUGGUGUGCCCAUAUUCUAAAAUACCACCGAAAAUCCAUCCAUUUUCCAUCCCAGGUAACCUACACAGGGUUGCGGGGGAGCCUGGCGCCUAUCCAAGGGAACUCGGAGCUCAGGGUGAGGGAUACCAACAGAUCGCAGGGCACAAUCGCGAACACUACAGACAGUUUGGAAAUGCCGAUCAGCCUAUAGUGCAUGUCUUCGGACUGGGGGAGGAAACAGGAGUACCUGGAAGAAACCCCUCAGGCGAGAACAUGCAAACUCCAUGCACACAGUGCAGAGGCGGGAUUCAAACCCCCCAACCUAAAAGGCACGAGGCAAACGUGCUAACCACUACCACAGAAAAUAAAAUGAUCACAUAGCAAUAGCGCAACAGAACCUUUUCUCAUGAGAGUAUCUUAGUGUGUGCAGUAGAGGUUUAAAAAUUGCCCCCAAGGGCAAUCAAAGUUUUAUCACAUAAAGAAGUAAUGAUAAAAAUAAACAUCAUAUGACCAUAUAUAAAGUUUAUGAACAUAUUUGCAAUGUCAAUGUAAAACUUUUAUUUUUGUCAUUUCUUAUUGUUUAACAAUAAAAGCGCUGUGUGGGCUUAAAUCAA